AGUAUGUCCCAAUUAACCCUUUAAGGAUCAAUGUCUAUCUGGUCGUAACAAUAUGUUCUUUAGUGAUCUUGGUGUCAAGUGGAAUGCCUUACUCGAUUACUUACUGUAGGGACAUACACAUCAGCCAAGAAGAUUGCAAAUUAGCGAAUGUUGUGCCCAUUCACAAGAAAGGUAGUAUGGAGGACUCUGGAAAUUAUAGGCCAGUAAGCCUUACUUCAAUAGUUGGGAAAGUAAUGGAAACCAUGUUAAAGGAUAG